AUCGCUUCUCGGCCUUUUGGCCACUUUAAGAUUAAAGUGUAUUAUCUGUUCUUAUCAGCUUGAAUCUCUGGUACGGCCUCCAUAGCGAAUUCAUCUGAGGACAUCUUUAAAGAAAUGGAUUCCGCCGUUUUAGCUUUGUGUUUGAAUCUUA
rnacentral:snRNA from 1 species